ACCUGUGUCUUCAUCACGCGGAAAAGAUUACAGAAUAAUUUAAAACUCAAAAAACUGAUGACACCACGCACUGCUUUUAAAUAUAAGAUGAAAGAAAUGGAGGCAGCUUCCCAAACAUGUCAAUGUUUCUUAGAAUAACUCGGUGAUGUCACCGUCUCUUAACUUUUAGUUUCUUUUAACUUGUUGUUGUGUAUUUUAUUCAGUCAAUCAUUGCAAUACAAUAUUAUUCUAUAUAAUAUAGAAAACAGAACGACUGAAAAGGGAAAGGUAGAAGCAAAAAUGCUUAGAUAUACCUAUUCUAAAUUAUUAUAAUCAAAUAAAUCAGAUAAUUAAUCUAAAAUAAAGAAAAAGAAGAAAGAAAAUUAAAAAAUAGCCACAUUUUUCUUUAUUUAUCAGCAUUUAAGAAUAAAAGUUAGUCUCUCUGUCAUCAAGUCCCCGCAAAUGUGUUUUGAUAUCCGACAGAGAAUUUAUUUGAGUUCUUGUGAGAAUUUCGCCCCGACAUGCUCCUCCUCCACUUGGUGCUCGUGUGGCACCCUGGACAUUUUAAGGGCAAAUAUUGUUGUCAGAAUUGUUAUUUAAUUGUAUUGUGUUAGUACCUUGCCCCCAUCAUCCUUAUUAUCUUGUUAUUAUCAUUUUAAACGCUUUGUGUUAACUUAUAACUCACCUGCUUUCACCUGAAGGAGCUGCAGGGCGAUACAUGUGUUCGCCAGUAGGGGGCGGUAGUGAGUUUUGCCAUGACUGGCGCCGUAAUUCUUAAACAAACAAGUUAGACCAGCACAUCACAGACCGUGACACAGCUAUUAAUGUGAGACUUGGUGUCUUUACAGAGCACAAGGAAAACAUCUGGAAUGCUGAAUGGACAUCGUCAUCCUUCAGUGUGUAACACUCGCGCAGUGCUCCUCGCGCCACGCCUACUUCUCCUCUGACCCGCUGCAUCAGACAAACAGUUCAGGGAGCGUCUCGGUCCAGCGGGUCAUUCCUCUGAGCGCCACAUGCUCCACAACAUGAGGAUGCAUCUUCCCCCCAUCGUCCCACCAUCGUCCGCUUGACAGACGCAGUAAUAAACAAGUAAAUAACAACAACAAACAGCGACGCAGACGAGAGAACAUGUAGUGAGUGACUGAAUAAACAAGAGAGAUGUGGAAAGAUAAGAAAACAACUAAGAUGAGGGUGUUGUUCAUGUGUGUAAAGAGUCAUAUCUACGGCAUUACUGUUAUUUAUAUUAUAUUUAACAAUUAUAAUAAAAAGCAGAAAGGCACCGCUCAUUGUUGGUAUUAUAAGCAAAGCGGCGUUACAAUUUAAUUAUCACAAAGAAUAUUGUAAAUGGACAUUUCUCUAAGCCGCAAGACAGAAAGCACCUCAUUUAGGAACACGAUUUUAUUAUUAUUCAGAUUAUUUAUUUUUAAUCGCGAGCCUGUUGACUGUGUGGGCUUUCAGAAUAAUGUUAUUUUGACUUAAUUUGUGGGCAGAGCGGCUGGAGGUGUGUAAGCAUGUGUUGUGUGAUGAGAACAGAAGGAGCAGGAACUAUUUUUAAUGGGGCUGUCAAUCACUUAACACUUUAUAGUAUUUUUGAAGGCUAUUUUUCUCUUAUUCUCUCUCUCCCUCUCUCUC